rnacentral:rRNA from 1 species
GUUGAACGCUGGCGGCAUGCUUUACACAUGCAAGUCGAACGGCAGCACGGGGGCAACCCUGGUGGCGAGUGGCGAACGGGUGAGUAACACAUCGGAACGUGUCCAGUUGUGGGGGAUAACCCAUCGAAAGGUGGGCUAAUACCGCAUGAGCUGGCAACAGGAAAGCGGGGGACCCGCAAGGGCCUUGUGCGAUUGGAGCGGCCGAUGUCCGAUUAGCUAGUUGGUGGGGUAAAGGCCUACCAAGGCUUCGAUCGGUAGCUGGUCUGAGAGGAUGAUCAGCCACACUGGGACUGAGACACGGCCCAGACUCCUACGGGAGGCAGCAGUGGGGAAUUUUGGACAAUGGGGCAACCCUGAUCCAGCCAUGCCGCGUGAGUGAAGAAGGCCUU